ensembl:lncRNA
AUUCAGACAAGGUUUUAUUGGAGCUCUGGCUGCAUCAGGAAGGGAGUCAAACAGGUGACAAGUUGCCUUGUCUGCUUCUGGGGGAUAAGGAGGUGUCGGGGCGCGUGUGGGAAAUCUGGUCCAUUAAGUGGGGUGAGGGCAGGCUGGGUCCAGCAUUGGGCUGGAGGACUGACUGCCAGGUCUGCCCAGCCUCUUGGUGAUGCUCUGUGCAGGCAUCACGUCCAAGACCCCAUCUUUGCUCUCCAGCUCUGAAGGGGUGACUGGAGUUUUGAUCUUUUUUCUUUUUUUAUCUCGUGCAUCGUUUGCCCAAGCUGUUCAGGUAUGUAGAAGUAUAUUGAGUCCCUUGUCGUUUCCUUGUUGUCUGUGGCUCGGGAAGAUGUGUGUCCACGCGGAAGCACUGCAGCCCAGGUCCCAGCGUGUCUGAAAUCUAGAACCUGGAGAGCGGGGAGGGGCAGAGAAUCGAGGAUGGGGCAGGCCUAGGACUGUGCAGAGCCCAGCGGAAUCUAGAAAAGCCGGGGAUGGGGGAUGAGUUUAGGGGGCAGGGGGUGGAGAGAGGGGCACUGCCCUGAGGGAUGGGAGGGGAAAGUCAGGGUGAGGAAUAACUCUGGUGGGGGAGGGGCGGGGCUGCAUUCCCAGUUUCCCUCCUUGAGGCAAAUAGGGGCCUCAGGUGCAUCUGGCACUGUUGGAACCGCCAGCCUCCUGAGGAGCCCCGCCUUGCGAAGCACAGAGCUUCUUGGAGUCCACACCAUGGUCCACAAGCUUCCCCUCGGGGUGAUCCUUAAACUCCGGGGACUCCUCCGUGGCACAGAGCUUCUCCUUCCCUCUGUUCUGACCCUAUUCUGGGACAGAAUAGGGUCAGAACAGAGGGAAGGAGAAGCUCUGUGCCACGGAGGAGUCCCCGGAGUUUAAGGAUCACCCCGAGGGGAAGCUUGUGGACCAUGGUGUGGACUCCAAGAAGCUCUGUGCUUCGCAAGGCGGGGCUCCUCAGGAGGCUGGCGGUUCCAACAGUGCCAGAUGCACCUGAGGCCUCUAUUUGCCUCAAGGAGGGAAACUGGGAAUGCAGCCCCACCCCUCCCCCACCAGAGUUAUUCCUCACCCUGACUUUCCCCUCCCAUCCCUCAGGGCAGUGCCCCUCUCUCCACCCCCUGCCCCCUAAACUCAUCCCCCAUCCCCGGCUUUUCUAGAUUCCGCUGGGCUCUGCACAGUCCUAGGCCUGCCCCAUCCUCGAUUCUCUGCCCCUCCCCGCUCUCCAGGUUCUAGAUUUCAGACACGCUGGGACCUGGGCUGCAGUGCUUCCGCGUGGACACACAUCUUCCUGAGCCACAGACAACAAGGAAACGACAAGGGACUCAAUAUACUUCUACAUACCUGAACAGCUUGGGCAAACGAUGCACGAGAUAAAAAAAGAAAAAAGAUCAAAACUCCAGUCACCCCUUCAGAGCUGGAGAGCAAAGAUGGGGUCUUGGACGUGAUGCCUACACAGAGCAUCACCAAGAGGCUGGGCAGACCUGGCAGUCAGUCCUCCAGCCCAAUGCUGGACCCAGCCUGCCCUCACCCCACUUAAUGUACCAGAUUUCCCACACGCGCCCCGACACCUCCUUAUCCCCCAGAAGCAGACAAGGCAAUUUGUCACUUGUUUGACUCCCUUCCUGAUGCAGCCAGAGCUCCAAUAAAACCUGGUC